CUGCUUUAAUGUACAAGCUUAUACGAAAUAGAUUCCAGAGAAUUUUUGAGAUCAUCCAAUACUCAGUUGUGAAGUACCGUAUUAUGAAAUCCACAUGGUGGUAGACGCCCUAACUGUGUUUGUUCUUCUACAGUAAUCAGACAUCAAAGAAUGUGAAAUAGGAUGGCGAAAACUGAGAGAAAAGGCAUUCCUGGAUGAAUGGACAGAGCAUCAGGAAAUGAUCUAUGGUGGAAUAUGCUGCAGAAAUCAAUGACUAUAGAUUGUAACUAGAGCUAACUUUGAGAAAAUCAUGUGCAAGGAGAGAUUUAAGAUUUCUGAGAAAAAAUCGACUGCUAUUCCUGAGUCACCAGACCUAGGAAAACAUAGAUUGUGCCCUCAAUAUGUGGAAAGUUAUUCUGGCCUAAUGAAAUUAACACAAAUGACGAGAUCUGCGGCAGAUGAGUAUGUGCAAACAGUAGAUGCAAGACGUGUGUGGAGAAACAGGCUAUUAUAAUGAAAUACGAAGUGAUCUUUUUUCACUAAUGUUAUUUACAUAUUACAUCACUCAGGAGUUACCGAAUGUGUACUCAUGAAGUUAAAUAUUCCAUUUGAACCUGACAGAUUUUUUUCCUGCUUUUCUAGUUAUUUGCUUUGGGUGAAGAAAUAGUAAAAGACCACUGGAGUUUUCUAAGGCAUAUUCUACACAUUUGGGCAAACUGCUUUUAAUCAUGAUCUUUUGCAUACAGGAACUGCAGGCAUUUCUCUUAAAAAUUUUCAAAAACAGUGUUAUCAUAUAUAAAGAAAAACAGAACAUGCAACCAUCCUGAGAUAAAGAGGAAAGUAGGCAAGCUAGGCAGAGACAACUCCGUGGGAUCAAUGAGCAUGGAUGGCAUUUCAAAUGACUUUGUGUGAGCUCAAGAUGAGGUCUGUGUGUCAGGAAAAUGAUAUAAUUGGCGAGGGGCAAGAUUUUUGUAGGAUGUGCCAAAUACAGCUGGCAAAAUUUGGACAAAACAAGAAGAGAAUGCAGAACAGAUCAUUACAGAGAUAACAAUCUAGCUAAAUAGUUUUAUUUUUUAUGUUUGAAUAUUAU
rnacentral:lncRNA from 10 species